rnacentral:lncRNA from 1 species
UUUUCGAAGUGGUUCGCGAUGCCUAGUUUUUGGAUGCUGUCAAUCAGCUGUAAGUUCUAUUUGAGAGCAAACACUUUGUGAUUUGUACAAAGUCUUUUGGGACGAUAAGGAGAUUAACUUUAUCACAUGUGGCAGACUUAUAAGGAGUUGUAUUACUUAGGUAUACAAGUCAGAAACAUUCUUAGAUAAACUAGAACUCUUCUAGCUGAUUUAUGCACAAGUAAUCUUCGGUGAUAAAGUUCAUCUUUGAUAGGGUUUACUUAAUGGGAGGACUCCUAAUCAAAGACCAUCACCUAUAGUAUAUAACUGAGGUCCCUGUGCUCUCACUAAAUACCUGCAAGUAUACAGAAAUCCUCAAGCCCCAUUGAGUGAGCCUUGCUUCCGGACAGUGCAGAGACACAGAAGAGCCUCAGUUCUUUACCCUAUUUCUGAGACGAUGUCUUCAUCAGGUUAGUGGUUAGAUUGGUAUAUGAGUCAGUCGUUAUAUAUGUAUAUAACCUAAAGAAUUAACUUACAUUUGGUAUCAGAGCCCUCACAUAUCAUCUGACCCUAUGUGAAAGGCAUCAAGAAAUUUCAUUCUGUCUUGCAGGUUAUGGAACUGGAACUGUAUCAUCAAGGAAAAAUAUAUACAACACGUUCAAGGACGACUAAAGUUAUCCUUGAUCAUAAGGAUAUUAUGUUUUUCAAUCGAUACAUGUACCAGUGAUGGUGCUUAAAAUUCAAGACAUGAUUAUUGAUCAUCUAAAGAUGAUUUUUCUUUCAUGCUUCGAAUUUGAGCAGCAUAUCAUUUUAUAUAUAUAUAUUUGAAUCAAAUUAAUAUUGUCAAACCACAAAGGCUUGUGAUUUUAAUUACAGAAAUUCGAAUGUUGACUAUAAAAGUGAUAUGAUUAAAGAAAGUUUUCACAUAUUCAUCAAUCUAAAGAUGUUGAAGAUGUGAUUUAUGGUUUGGGGUUAAAGAUUAAUACUCUUUACAUCAUGAACGUUUCCUUUUCAGUGAAUCCCAGCUCUUUGAAUCUCAAUACAGUUGAGCCUCUUACUGGUGUCAACUACAGAAAGUGGAAACAAGAUCUCGAAAUCGUUUUGGGAGUUAUGGACUGGGAUUUGGCACUGAGAACUGAAGAACCUCCGGCACUCACUGAUGACAGCACUGCAAAUCAGAAAUCCAAGUAUGAAAAAUGGCACAAAUCCAACAGAAUUGCCCUAUUGAUCAUCAAAAGGAGCAUGACAGAUGUGGUGAGAGGUGGCUUUCCUGAUGAAGCAAAUGCAAAAGAUUUUUUGAAGUCCAUUGAGGCAAAGUAUAGGGAAUCACCAAAAACUGAGACAGGUAAUCUCAUGAAUGCUCUCACUACCAUGAGAUAUGAUGGGGUUCAAAGUUUGUGAGAAUACAUAUUGAAAAUGGUGGACGUUGUUGCUGGAAAACUCAAUGCACUCGAGGUACCAAUUUCUGAUACUUUUCUGGUACAUGUCAUUAUGAAUUCUCUGCCUGAAAGUUAUACACAACUCAAAGUUUAUUAUAAUGGUCUACGUGAGAAAUGGGAUGUGAAUGAAUUGAUAGCUAUUUGUGUGAGUGAAGAAGAAAGGAUGAAGAAAGAAAGGUUUGAGAAAGAGAGAAUUGAGUCUGUGAACCUUGUCCAAAGUGUCACUAGGGCCACUAAAUUUCAUGUUCCCGAUACUGCCAAAAAGGAUUCUACCAAGUCAGUUCCCUCUCCUAAAAGAAACUUCAAGCUUAAUAAACUUUCAGUUUUCAAGUGCUAUUUUUGCAAAAAGGCAGGCCACAUGAAGAAAAGCUGUCCCAAAUAUAAGGCUUGGCUUGCCAAACAAGAAGCAAAGAAAGGUAAAAAUGUUUUUGCUUGUUUUGAAUCAAAUUUAAUUAACAUACCCAGCACUGAAUGGUGGCUUGACUCGGGCUCUUCUAUACAUGUUACAACUUCAUUACAAGACUUCACAACAUGGAGAACACCAAAUAAGGAUGAAGUCAAAGUUUCGGUUGGCAAUGGAAGAAGAGUUGAAGUCAAAGCCCUAGGAAGUGUUAGACUAAAGCUAGAAUUUGGUUUUUAUUUAGAGUUAGAUAACGUGUUUAUGUGCCUUCCAUGAAAAGGAAGUUGAUUUCUAUUUCAAAGCUAGUGUUAUUGGGUUUUUAUUUUACUAUUAAUAAAAGGGGCUUUAACGUUUUUUAUGAAUCUUCUCAAGUAGGACAUGGUUUCAUGAGUGAUGGUAUGUUUCAACUUAAAUUAAAUCAAACUGAAUAUGUUUUCAACGUACAAGAUGAUAAAAUCAAAACUCAACAGUCUUCAAUAUUAUGGCAUAAGAGACUCGGCCAUAUUUCUAAACAAAGAAUGGAGCUGCUUGUCAAAAACGAAAUUCUACCUCCAUUAAACUUCAAUGACUUUGAAUUUUGUGUGGAUUGCAUUAAAGGGAAAAUGACAAACACUAGAAAGGAAGGCUCAACUAGGAGUAAGCAACCCUUAGAGAUCAUUCACACGGACAUUUGUGGUCCUUUUCCCACACAAACCUUAGAAGGAAACAAAUAUUUCAUUACUUAUAUUGAUGAUUUCUCAAGAUUUUGCUUCAUUUAUUUGAUUUCAGAAAAGUCUAAAGCACUUGAAACUUUUUAAAAUUUAUAAAAGUGAAGUCGAAAAUCAAUUGGAAAGGAACAUUAAGGUUGUAAGAUCUGAUAGGGGAGGGGAGUACUAUGGUAGAUAUACUGAAAUUGGUAGAAAUCCUGGACCUUUUGCGUUAUUUCUGCAAGAACAUGGAAUUGUAGCCCAAUAUACCACACCAGGUACUCCGGAGCAAAACGGAGUAGCCGAGAGGAGGAAUAGAACUCUCAUGGACAUGGUAAGGAGCAUGAUUUGUAGAACUAAUCUGCCAAGUUGUUUGUGGGGAGAAGCAGUGAAAACUGCAAAUUAUAUAUUUAAAUAGGGUACCUUCUAAAUCUGUGGAAGGGACACCUUUCGAACUAUGGACAGGCAGAAAACCGAGUUUAAACCACUUGCAUGUAUGGGGCUGUAGAGCAGAGGCAAAGAUAUAUAAUCCAGGCUACAAGAAACUUGAUUCAAAGACUGUCAGUUGUCGUUUUAUUGGAUAUGCUGAAAGGUCGAAGGGUUUUAGAUUUUAUUGCCCUAACCAAAAUACAAGAAUUGUCGAAACUGGAAAAGCAGUUUUCAUGGAGUCUGAUGCAAGCGUCGAUUCUGGGACAAGGGUUGAAGGGUUUGUAUUUGAAGAAGAAAUAAACAAUCAAGAAGCAGCAGUUGAAGACGUUGAUCGUAACACAGCGAUUAUGGCACCGAUAGUUGUAGUAACCGAGAUAAUGGGAAGCAAUGAUUCUGAUGAACCAAGUCACGAGAUAGAGGUUGCACAUGACAUCGAACUGCACGAUAACACUGUUGUACAAGACGUGUUUGAAGAGGUUGUGACAGAAAAUCAACAACAACAACACCAUGCACAUGAAGACAACAUCACGGCUGCGGGUGCUGCAAAUAUAAGAAUGUCAUCUAGGGUUAGAAAACCUACAACCCUAAAUGAUUUCGUAUAUUUGACACAGGUUGACACUGAUCUUUCAGAGUUUAAUGAUCCGAUGAGUUACAAAGAAGCAAUUGCAGGACCAGAUGCUGAUAAAUGGAUAGAAGCCAUGAAGAGUGAACUGAGUUCGAUGGCAAACAAUCAAGUGUGGGAUCUAGUGGAACAGGCAGAAGGAUCAAAACCCAUAAGAUGCAAAUGGGUUUUCAAAACAAAAAAGGAUUCAAACGGAAACAUAGAAAGGCACAAAGCCAGGCUUGUUGCGAAAGGCUUCACGCAAAAGGAGGGUGUAGACUACAAAGAAACAUUCAGCCCCGUGUCGACAAAAGAUGCGUUUAGGGUUAUUAUGUCUAUGGUGGCUCAUUUUGAUUUGAUUUUACAUCAAAUGGAUGUAAAAACGGCGUUCUUGAAUGGGGACCUGGAAGAAUGCAUUUACAUGCGUCAACCAGAAGGUUUCAAGGAGGGAGAAGGAAGAAACCUAGUGUGCAAACUCAACAAAUCCAUAUAUGGAUUGAAGCAAGCAUCACGGCAAUGGUACUUGAAAUUUCAUAGAAUUGUGAAAGAACAUGGCUUCACCGAGAAUCCUUCAGACAAUUGCAUUUAUCUGAAGUUCAGUGGUAGCAACUUUAUCAUCCUAGUUCUCUAUGUGGAUGAUAUAUUACUUGCCACGAAUUCUCACAGUUUGUUGGAUGAUACAAAAACUUUUUUGCAGAAGCAUUUUGAAAUGAAAGACAUGGGAGAAGCGACAUAUGUUUUGGGCAUUGAGAUCAAAAGGGAUAGAAUGAGAGGUUUGCUAGGCUUGUCACAGAAAGCAUACAUAGAGAAAAUGUUAAGAAGGUUUAAUAUGUCUUCGUGUGGAACUACUGAGAUGCCUAUAUCGAAGGGUGAUAAAUUGAGUAAGCAGCAGUGUCCACAAACAGACUUAGAGAGGAAGGCUAUGGAUGACAAACCAUACGCCUCCCUGGUGGGAAGUUUAAUGUAUGCACAGGUGUGCACAAGGCCUGACUUGGCUUUCACCAUUUCCGUGCUUGGGAGGUUUCAAUCCAAUGCAGGUGAAGCUCACUGGAAUGCUGCCAAAAGAGUUUUGAGAUACCUUCAGAGAACCAAGGACCAUAUGUUGGUGUAUAAAAGAACCGAGAGUUUGGUUUUGGAAGGGUAUAGUGAUUCUGAUUUUGCCGGUUGUCCAGAUGAUAUGAAGUCAACUACAGGUUAUGUUUUCUUAAUGGCAUGUGGUGCGGUUUCUUGGAAGUCUGUCAAACAAGGAACUGUGGCAGCGUCAACAAUGGUUGCAGAGUAUUUAUCAGUCUGUGAAACAGUGAAUCAAGCUGUUUGGUUGAAGAAUUUCAUAGUUGGGCUUCAAGUAGUGGACUCUAUAUCGAGACCUAUACAGAUUUUCUGUGAUAAUAAUGCAGCCAUAUUCUUUACUAAAAAUAAUAAGAGAUCUAAUGCAACAAGGAAUUUGGAUAUAAAAUAUCUCAUUGCUCGAGAGAAGGUGAUGGCCGGUUUAGUUAAGGUUGAUUAUUUGGAGACUGGAUCCAUGAUCGCUGAUCCGUUAAAUAAAGCAGUUCCCACCAUCGUUUUCAAGAAGCAUGUCACUAGCAUGGGAGUCUUGGCUGGUUUUGAUGCAGCGAAUUAGUGGGAGCUAUGCAACAGGUUUCAACUUUUAUGCUAGUUUUCAUUCAAUAGCAAUUUAUGUUAUAGAGGAUAAGUUUGAGUAUUAACAAUGAAGUUUUCUUAGCUAAUAAAGAAUAAAGCUGAAAGGUUGUUCAAGUUUCCUUAAAGGGUUCAGUUUUUAGCUAUGAUAAUGCAUGAAUAUUUUGCAUGCUGUUUAUGAUUUUUAUUCAUUACACAGUGUCGGACAACCUGAGGGCUUUAUAUAGAAGCACAUGGAUCGUUUUGAUUCUGAAAGGGACCAAAUGUUAGACAUAAUUAAUACAUGUUCGGUUGUGUCUUGCAUGCUAUAUAUCUUGUUGGAAUCUUAUGUGUUGAUAAGCUUUACUGCAAGUAAUUAUGGGGACGGUACUCUUCAGUGUAAUGAGUGUGUUGCCCUAUAAUUCUCAUGAAUGCUUAACAAUGACGAAGACUGGAAAACUAAGAAGUGUCGAAAGUUAAUCUCAUGGCCAAUUCAGAUCCUUCCCAACUCCAGUAUGAUUAUACAACUUUACAAAGUAUUUGCUCUAGUGGGAGAAUGUAAGUUCUAUUUGAGAGCAAACACUUUGUGAUUUGUACAAAGUCUUUUGGGACGAUAAGGAGAUUAACCUUAUCACAUGUGGCAGACUUAUAAGGAGUUGUAUUACUUAGGUAUACAAGUCAGAAACAUUCUUAGAUAAACUAGAACUCUUCUAGCUGAUUUAUGCACAAGUAAUCUUCGGUGAUAAAGUUCAUCUUUGAUAGGGUUUACUUAAUGGGAGGACUCCUAAUCAAAGACCAUCACCUAUAGUAUAUAACUGAGGUCCCUGUGCUCUCACUAAAUACCUGCAAGUAUACAGAAAUCCUCAAGCCCCAUUGAGUGAGCCUUGCUUCCGGACAGUGCAGAGACACAGAAGAGCCUCAGUUCUUUACCCUAUUUCUGAGACGAUGUCUUCAUCAGGUUAGUGGUUAGAUUGGUAUAUGAGUCAGUCGUUAUAUAUGUAUAUAACCUAAAGAAUUAACUUACAUCAGCUCCAACUUAGCUACUAAAUGGAAGAAGCUUAGAAAUAUAUGUAUAACUCACACCAUAUUUGCUGUUAAGAGAUUGAUCUAGGAAAUCAUACUUCCAAAUACUUGGUUUGUAAUUGGCAGAUCGUCUUUGAUUAGUCAAGUAAGAGGUUUCGGGUUCGAGUUUCAUCUGGUUUUGAAGAAUUUGCUGCUCAUGAUCAGCUUGCAAGUACUGUAAACUCCAUGGUGAAGACUUAGUCUGAUGUACAAGAAGCUCGAGAUAUUUGGGAUAUCAAAUGAAUCUCCGGAGGGGUGGGUCAUAUAGGCAAAGGUAUUGGAAACUCCACACUGUGUUUACUGGUCAAUAUAUUAGUCAUGGGUACUGUUUAUAGCGUUCACAAUAUUUCACUUGGAAAACGAGAAAAAUAUCAAUGAGUUUAUGAUAUCAAGGGGAGGGAAAAAAUGGUGGAGAGAAUCCUACUCCUUUUUUUAUGUUUAAUAUAUAUGAAAUGUUGGCUUUAAAUCAGAUCAACUCAGUUAUGAGAUGCUUUGAUAUGUUGCAAAACCUACAUCUGAAACGAGAAAGUUUCAGCCAUCCGCUUAGAUAUAUAUUUGACAUUUUCGCAAGAGACUACUCUAAUUAGGUUAAAAGAUUGAACUCGGGGGCACAUUAGAGUGAGCGCUUUAAAUAACUAUUUUGAUUUACACAUGUCAUUGUUUUAAUUCACAUAAAGAUGAUUGAGCUCGAAUACAAAAAUAUUAGACACAUUAACCUGAACAACCUAGUCUAACUCACACAUAUUUCAUCAUAACCAAAAUCAAGUUGAAUUCUAAUUUGGCUCCCGGAGAUUCUAGUACAGAAAAAUCAUACAACAAAUUCGAAUCCCAUAAUAAGCAAAACUUUGCUUUUCCAAUUAAUGUCGGGCAAUGAUAUUUCAUUCAAUAGCAAAUUCAAGAUUUUAAUGAUGGGUGAUCUCAAUAUAAAAGUUCAAAAAAAAUAAAUAAAUAACAUUAAAAAAAUAAACGACAAACUACAACUUUUUAUUCAUAAUCUUUGUGCAACAACGUUACAAACUGUAAAGAUUAAUUUAUCCAUGACGAACUGAACCGCAAACUUCUUGCUGCUAUUUAUUUCAAACUAUAUGAGUACUAGUUUACAAGAGGUUGGAAUAGUAAAGACAGGAUGUGGGUCCGAGGCCCUUUCUCUUGGUCACCAAACCCAUCUCCAUCUUUGUAAAGGCUGUGCGCCACACGUGCCAUGUUUGUGGCAUUGUUCAUGAAUGAUGACAGAAAAGGCACUUGGUUUGUUGUGAAGCAUUUUCCAUUUACUUUCUUCCAUGCAUUGUCUAUCAUGCCCUUAAUGUUCUUCCUAGCUGUUUCUUCAGAGGCAUUCACUUCUCUCAUGUAACAUACGAUUGAUGAAGGAGAAUCCCCUCUCUCUUGUUCAGCCUGUUAAUCAUUUCAUUAAUUAUGUCGUGAUUAGAUUUUUUGUUUAGUUUUUUCGACUGUAAAGAAUGAAAGAAAUAAAAAAGAUUACCACGGAAGUUCCCAAAUCAUUGUUGAGGCGAACGAUGAGAGAGAUAUUAUACAAAAGAUCUUCAUUCUUGUGAAGAAAAUCAGCCAUCUCUUUGGUUCCCUCAUGAGUUAUAGAGAAAAACGAGUGAACCAAAAGCACUGAAACUGAUGAUGAAAUGCAUCCGUUUCUUAGGUACUCUUCAAGGGUUGGUAUAUGGCUCUUAUUAUACCACUCUGCCUCCACCAAUAAUGCUUUACAAAAAUCUGCCCACUAAGAAUCAGACAAAUAAGUUCAGCUAUAAAUAUAUAUACACACAUAAAAAUCAAAGCAAACAAAAAAAGAGAAUUGUUAUUGGCAAUCUAAAAAUGUUAUAUGCACUCAUCCGUUAUAAAAAUGUAACGGAGAAUUUACACUUCGGCAAGUUUAGGAUGAUCUUUCCAAAGUGCCAAUAACAGCUAAAAAACAAAACAAAACUGGCUUAGGUUGAGUACCACUUUGGUCAAUUGAGGUAAUACUUGGUUCCAACCAUUCUCCUCCUCAAUUUCACGAGCAAUUUCACAAGUAGUGUUGUAGAGUACUUGGAAACACAUCUUCAUACACUCUGGAAGCUGCUCAGUUUCCCUAGAAUCCCACCUGAUCAAUUCAAGAAAUCUUUUAAAAUUUUGUAUCAACAAUUAUCGUUUAUGGAAUUUGAACUCACAACUUCCUCAAAAAAUGUCAAAACUCGACAUUUGGCAUUUGAAAAUUAAAUAACUGAAUUAAAUAACUGACCUAUCAACAGCAUUGGUGAAGUGCUUUAGCUCUUCCUCUGAGCCAUAAAUAUCAUAGACGUCGUCUAUGAUCAGUACUAAGUUGAUGACUUUGGUAAGACAUAUUCUAAAAGAUGAGUGCUCAGGCUCGAAUGCUACUCCCACAGCACAUGAGAAACAUUCAACCAGUCUAUCUCUUGCAAAUUUCAAGUUGUCUGCGAAGCCCAGAUUUGCCCACCACCUUAAAUGACACAUUAAAAUCAUUAUGAGGGUCGUUGGAGCGGUUGAGAAUACUGUCAAAAUACGGAGAGAGAAUCUCGCUCACACUCACAUGCAUUAGGCCAGCACGACGGUCACAUGCCACAACAUGCAUUAAGUCCUUCUAAAUAAGACUAUCCUUUUCAUAACAUAGACUUUCCUCACAUCCUCCCCCCUCUCUCUCCCCCACCCCCCAAAUGGAUUACUUUGAUGACAUUCUGUAUUAAUGACGUAACAUCAUGUGUUUUAUUGUUUCAGAGAGUUUCCUCACAUCCCCCCAUAGGUUACUUUGAUGACAUUAUGUAUUAAUGACGUAACAUCAUGUGUUUUAUUGUUUUCGCAUGCAUCGUAUCAUUAGUUCAAAAGUAAAUUGUAGCAGUGGUCCCUCAACUUUAAUUAAAUUGGAGCAAUGGUUCCUUAACUAAAAAUUCAUUAUCAUUGGUCCCUCAACUCAUCAAAAUGUAUAGCUAUGGUCCUUUUCGUCAACUUCGUCAUAAUUUUGUCAAAAUAAGUUAUAUUGGAAUAAUCAUUGCUAUAAUUGGGAUCCCUCAACUCAUCAAAACGUGCAGCUAUGGUCCCUUUUGUCAACUUUGUCAGAAUUUUGUGAAAAUGAGUUAUGUUGAAAGGACCAUUGCUACAAUUGGGCUAAAGUUGAGGGACCAUUGUUCCAAUUGGGUUAAAGUUGAUGACCAUUUCUCCAGUUGGAUUAAAGUUGAGGGACCAUAGCUGCACAUUUUGAUAAGUUGAGGGAUCAAUGGUAAUAGAUUUAUAGUUGAGGGGUCAUUGCUCCAAUUGAGUUAAAGUUAAGGGAUCAUUGCUACAAUUUACUCUUAGUUCAAAAUGUCGUCAUCAUAAUAAAUAUAUAGAAAUAACAUGGGGUGUGCUAUCCACACAUCUCUUUUUACUUCUCACACACCAUCUUAAUUUUAGGCCGUCAGAUCGAAAAAAAUUGAAGAAGACAAAUGAUAUAAAUUAAUAAGGGGUGUAUGAGAAGUAAAAAUGAAUAUGUGGAUACGACACCCGUAAAUAAAUUAAGAAGAAGACGAAUGAUGUUUUUUUUUUUUGCCUUACCUGGAUGCUUCCCUUAAGUUUUUUUGGAGUUGGGCCUGAACUACGUUGAAAUUAAGCUUUGCUAAUUCGAGUAACGUGGCGUUGACGCGACAAAUGUCUUUUUCAUAGGCGUUGAUUUGCCAUUUGACAUCAAACCACUGCACUCUGCGGUGUGAUGGAAGCUCCAGGGAAUGAACUACGUCCCUGGAAAGGUUACUGUCUGGAUAACAAAUAUGACCACUAUCUCUGAGAGCUAGCGUCAAGGAAGCUUUCGCCUCAUCUAAAAUAUCUUCACCUUCGAAACCCAGGUUUGAGGCCUCGAAAAGUUCCAGCAUUCCUUUUAAAUGCGCGAAAUGGUGGUUCUCUAAUGUGCCCUUUUCAUCCAUGAAUCUACCAAAUAUAUCUGUGUUUCACACCACACAUCAGUUAAACAAUAAGAGUUCUUUAAUUAUAAGAUAAAAUUAUGGAAAUGUUUAGAAGUGCUUAGGUCUAAACGCAUGGCUAAUCAUUAUUUACCUUGUGAAACUUUAUAGCCAUGCUGCCUGAGGAUCUUGAAGUGUAAUGCAGUACCAUAGAGAUCGUCUCUUGUGCCGAGAUUGUCGCUUUCGAUAGCUGCAAUGCUGUCUAGGGCUUCCUUGAUUUCCUUUUCGAAGAGGUUCGCGAGGCCUAGUUUUCGGACGCUGUCAAUGAGCUCCAACUUAGCUACUAAAUCCAUUGUUUCAGCAGAUAUAUAAAUCUUAACUUCUUCUAUUAACUUCUCAGACAGCUUCCGAUACUCAUCUCCCUGCACUCAGUUUAUAAUAAAAUAAUUAAGACAAUUCACGUUAAUUAAGCUUAGACUUUAACUACAACAUUAAUGGAAGAAGCUUAAUUAGAAACAUAUAUAACUCACAUCGUAUUUGCUGAUAAGAGAUUGAUCUAGGAAAUCGUUCUUCCAAAUAUUUGGCUUGUAAUUUGCAGACCGUCUUUGAUUAAUCAAGUAAGAGGCUUCAGGUUCGGGUUUCAUCUGGUUUUGAAAAAAUUUCUGCUCAUUAUCAGCUUGCAAGUGAACUCUGAAUUCCAUAGUGAAUACCUAAUUUGGUGUACAAGAAGCUCGAGAUGUUUGGGAUACAAGAAGCUAUAGAGGUUUUUGGGAUAUCAAAUGAAUCUCCGGAGGGGUGGGUUAUAUAGGCAAAGGUAGUGUAUACUCCACACGUCUACUGGUCAAUAAUAUUGGACUAUGCAUGUUUAUAGCGCUUUCACAUUCCUCGUGAAAAACGAGAAAAAAUCAAUGAGUGGAUAAGUUAUAUGGUUCUUCUUACAACUACAGGGUCGUCUCUAAG